rnacentral:rRNA from 1 species
AUUGAACGCUGGCGGCGUGCCCAACACAUGCAAGUCGAGCGGUAACAGGUGUAGCAAUACAUGCUGACGAGCGGCGAACGGGUGAGUAAUGCUUCGGAAUCUGCCCAUGUAGUGGGGAAUAACCAGCCGAAAGGUUGGCUAAUACCGCAUACGACCCUUGCCCACAAGGCAAAGGUGAAAGCAGGGGAUCGCAAGACCUUGCGCUAUUGGANGAGCCGAAGUCGGAUUAGCUAGUUGGUAGGGUAACGGCCUACCAAGGCGACGAUCCGUAGCUGGUCUGAGAGGACGACCAGCCACACUGGGACUGAGACACGGCCCAGACUCCUACGGGAGGCAGCAGUGGGAAUAUUGGGCAAUGGGGAAACCCUGACCCAGCGACG